GAUGAACGCUGGCGGCGUGCCUAAUACAUGCAAGUCGAGCGAACGGACGAGAAGCUUGCUUUUCUGAUGUUAGCGGCGGACGGGUGAGUAACACGUGGAUAACCUACCUAUAAGACUGGGAUAACUUCGGGAAACCGGAGCUAAUACCGGAUAAUAUUUUGAACCGCAUGGUUCAACAGUGAAAGACGGUCUUGCUUUCACUUAUAGAUGGAUCCGCGCUGCAUUAGCUAGUUGGUAAGGUAACGGCUUACCAAGGCAACGAUGCAUAGCCGACCUGAGAGGGUGAUCGGCCACACUGGAACUGAGACACGGUCCAGACUCCUACGGGAGGCAGCAGUAGGGAAUCUUCCGCAAUGGGCGAAAGCCUGACGGAGCAACGCCGCGUGAGUGAUGAAGGUCUUCGGAUCGUAAAACUCUGUUAUUAGGGAAGAACAUAUGUGUAAGUAACUGUGCACAUCUUGACGGUACCUAAUCAGAAAGCCACGGCUAACUACGUG
rnacentral:rRNA from 1 species